GACGAACGCUGGCGGCGUGCCCAAUACAUGCAAGUUGAGCGCUGAAGGUUGGUACUUGUACCAACUGGAUGAGCAGCGAACGGGUGAGUAACGCGUGGGGAAUCUGCCUUUGAGCGGGGGACAACAUUUGGAAACGAAUGCUAAUACCGCAUAAAAACUUUAAACACAAGUUUUAAGUUUGAAAGAUGCAAUUGCAUCACUCAAAGAUGAUCCCGCGUUGUAUUAGCUAGUUGGUGAGGUAAAGGCUCACCAAGGCGAUGAUACAUAGCCGACCUGAGAGGGUGAUCGGCCACAUUGGGACUGAGACACGGCCCAAACUCCUACGGGAGGCAGCAGUAGGCAAUCUUCGGCAAUGGACGAAAGUCUGACCGAGCAACGCCGCGUGAGUGAAGAAGGUUUUCGGAUCGUAAAACUCUGUUGGUAGAGAAGAACGUUGGUGAGAGUGGAAAGCUCAUCAAGUGACGGUAACUACCCAGAAAGGGACGGCUAACUACGUG
rnacentral:rRNA from 1 species